AUUUCUAUUAAUCUUGACCCUUUGUAGAUUAUUAGGGUUAUGUAUUUUUGAUUUAAAAUAACAUUUCAGAUACUAUGAACUAUGUACUGAUGUGUCGUUCGCGAACAAUUCGUUCUUUUGAACGACUCGUUAUAGUGAACGUACUGAACCGACUCUGUUGCAUGAGUGAUUCGUUGGUUUAUGUAAUGUAUUCGUGUCUCCUUCCCUCUGAUUCUCUUUUAUUGUAUUUUCUUGUGGGUAUAUAUAUUUUUAAAGUACUGUUUUUACCUUUUUAUAAGUAUAAAUAAUUUUGUAUUCUAUGUAUAUACAAGAGUAAGUUUUUGUUUUACUAAGAAUAUAGAUGUUCCUAUAAAUAAGCCUUGUCUUAUUCCUCCAAGCCUUUCCUUUCCUCAUUUCUUUCGUCGUCAUGGAUUCCUCCUUUUAAUAGAUAAUUGGUACCUCGGCAACCUUCGUCAAGACGCAACAGUUUAUACCAUGUCCUAAAAAUUCAGUGCUUCUAAAGCCGUCGCCAAGAUUGGAAACAAACCAAAUUGUCAAGGGUUUUAAGCACUUCAAGGACUCUGACAUCAUUAAGCACAAAGUUAAGUGCACUCUUGUUAGUCGUUGAUGGAGCUGCCCCCCACCCAUUUUUGACUUUCCAAUGCACUUAAAAAAAGUGGGUCCCAUCAAUGAAUCUUAAACCGAAUAACUUAUGAAGAAGACAGAACUAAAAAAACGGAAUUCUGAUGACAUGAUGGAAAAAAGGCCAACUGUAAAUAUAGUCAUUACAUAUACAUAUGCCCUACUUGGUACUAUGGAAUCCUUGGGGAUGGUGUAAACAUACAGCAAAAAGAGACAUCCUGAAAUCAAAAUAGCAGUUAUAUUUGAUAGUUACCAUAUCUUAUUCAGUUUAAGAAUCAAAAAUUUGAAAAAUAUCAAUAAUAGGUUGAAAGUCUUAAUUUUAUUAUUAUUUAAUAUUUUGAAGAAUAAAUGAUACUUCAUUGAUUA
rnacentral:lncRNA from 1 species